rnacentral:piRNA from 1 species
UGUUGAGCAGGCUUCAUGUACGCUGCAGUC